rnacentral:lncRNA from 1 species
UAGAAAUGAGCAGUGAAUCAUGAUUUAGAAGUAAGAAGCGUGUGAUUUCAUAAUAAGAUAGGAUAAGAGGCAGAUAGACAUUUUGAGUUUCGCAAUUGGAGAUGUAGGAUUUAAAAGAGAUGGGACAGAGGAGAGAGAGGGUUUUCAAGUUAUGCCGUGUUUUCAAAAUUGUAAUUAACUCAUCAUAUCAUAGAACAUUGCUUUUUGAAGAGUAAAAAUCUAGUGGCCUUGGUACUUUUGAAAACCCAAUCCAAUCUCUACAUGUCUGAAAUUCAUGCAAAAUUCUAUAAUGAGGAUGUCAUAUGUGGACCCUUU